GGUAGUAUUACACACUUGGUGGUUGGAGUAAUAACCAUAUAGCUAUAUGUGAAGGACACGAGUCGCCAUGAAUGUUUGGGUGGAUGAGUGAAUGAAUGGAACAUUUGAGCUAUUAUAAGCUCCUCUGCAGCCAAAUGUGGUAGUAAAGUGGUAGAAAUGUUUUGAGGAAGCGAGCUGAAUGAAGUAAGAAAAUGGCACUCC